rnacentral:tRNA from 1 species
GCCUAUGUAGCUUAGUUGGUAGAGCACUCCCUUGGUAAGGGAAAGGUCUCUGGUUCAAGUCCAGUCAUGGGCA